AUUGAACGCUGGCGGCAGGCCUAACACAUGCAAGUCGAACGAGUGGCGGACGGGUGAGUAAUGUCUGGGAAACUGCCUGAUGGAGGGGGAUAACUACUGGAAACGGUAUCUAAUACCGCAUACCACCAGAUUUGCCCAGAUGGGAUUAGCUUGGUGGUGGGGUAACGGCUCACCAAGGCGACGAUCCCUAGCUGGUCUGAGAGGAUGACCAGCCACACUGGAACUGAUACACGGUCCAGGCUCAUACGGGAGGUAGCAGUGGGGAAUAUUGCACAAUGGGCGCAAGACUGAUGCAGCCAUGCCGAGUGUAUGAAGAAAGCCUUCGGGUUGUAAAGUACUUUCAGCGGGGAGGCGUUACCCGCAGAAGAAGCACCGGCUAACUCCGUGCCAGCAGCCGCUGUAAUAC
rnacentral:rRNA from 1 species